GGUUAAGCGACUAAGCGUACACGGUGGAUGCCCUGGCAGUCAGAGGCGAUGAAGGACGUGCUAAUCUGCGAAAAGCGUCGGUAAGGUGAUAUGAACCGUUAUAACCGGCGAUGUCCGAAUGGGGAAACCCAGUGCAAUUCGUUGCACUAUCGUUAACUGAAUACAUAGGUUAACGAGGCGAACCGGGGGAACUGAAACAUCUAAGUACCCCGAGGAAAAGAAAUCAACCGAGAUUCCCCCAGUAGCGGCGAGCGAACGGGGAGCAGCCCAGAGUCUGAAUCAGCUUGUGUGUUAGUGGAACGGUCUGGAAAGUCCGACGGUACAGGGUGAUAGUCCCGUACACCAAAAUGCACAGGCUGUGAACUCGAAGAGUAGGGCGGGACACGUGGUAUCCUGUCUGAAUAUGGGGGGACCAUCCUCCAAGGCUAAAUACUCCUGACUGACCGAUAGUGAACCAGUACCGUGAGGGAAAGGCGAAAAGAACCCCGGCGAGGGGAGUGAAAAAGAACCUGAAACCGUGUACGUACAAGCAGUGGGAGCACCUUCGGGUGUGACUGCGUACCUUUUGUAUAAUGGGUCAGCGACUUAUAUUCUGUAGCAAGGUUAACCGUAUAGGGGAGCCGCAGGGAAACCGAGUCUUAACUGGGCGUUAAGUUGCAGGGUAUAGACCCGAAACCCGGUGAUCUAGCCAUGGGCAGGUUGAAGGUUGGGUAACACUAACUGGAGGACCGAACCGACUAAUGUUGAAAAAUUAGCGGAUGACUUGUGGCUGGGGGUGAAAGGCCAAUCAAACCGGGAGAUAGCUGGUUCUCCCCGAAAGCUAUUUAGGUAGCGCCUCGUGAACUCAUCUUCGGGGGUAGAGCACUGUUUCGGCUAGGGGGUCAUCCCGACUUACCAACCCGAUGCAAACUACGAAUACCGAAGAAUGUUAUCACGGGAGACACACGGCGGGUGCUAACGUCCGUCGUGAAGAGGGAAACAACCCAGACCGCCAGCUAAGGUCCCAAAGUCAUGGUUAAGUGGGAAACGAUGUGGGAAGGCACAGACAGCCAGGAUGUUGGCUUAGAAGCAGCCAUCAUUUAAAGAAAGCGUAAUAGCUCACUGGUCGAGUCGGCCUGCGCGGAAGAUGUAACGGGGCUAAACCAUGCACCGAAGCUGCGGCAGCGACACUAUGUGUUGUUGGGUAGGGGAGCGUUCUGUAAGCCUGCGAAGGUGUGCUGUGAGGCAUGCUGGAGGUAUCAGAAGUGCGAAUGCUGACAUAAGUAACGAUAAAGCGGGUGAAAAGCCCGCUCGCCGGAAGACCAAGGGUUCCUGUCCAACGUUAAUCGGGGCAGGGUGAGUCGACCCCUAAGGCGAGGCCGAAAGGCGUAGUCGAUGGGAAACAGGUUAAUAUUCCUGUACUUGGUGUUACUGCGAAGGGGGGACGGAGAAGGCUAUGUUAGCCGGGCGACGGUUGUCCCGGUUUAAGCAUGUAGGCUGGUUGUCCAGGCAAAUCCGGAUAAUCAAGGCUGAGGUGUGAUGACGAGGCACUACGGUGCUGAAGUAACAAAUGCCCUGCUUCCAGGAAAAGCCUCUAAGCAUCAGGUAACAUUAAAUCGUACCCCAAACCGACACAGGUGGUCAGGUAGAGAAUACCAAGGCGCUUGAGAGAACUCGGGUGAAGGAACUAGGCAAAAUGGUGCCGUAACUUCGGGAGAAGGCACGCUGGUGUGUAGGUGAAGUCCCUGCGGAUGGAGCUGAGACCAGUCGAAGAUACCAGCUGGCUGCAACUGUUUAUUAAAAACACAGCACUGUGCAAACACGAAAGUGGACGUAUACGGUGUGACGCCUGCCCGGUGCCGGAAGGUUAAUUGAUGGGGUUAUCCGUAAGGAGAAGCUCUUGAUCGAAGCCCCGGUAAACGGCGGCCGUAACUAUAACGGUCCUAAGGUAGCGAAAUUCCUUGUCGGGUAAGUUCCGACCUGCACGAAUGGCGUAAUGAUGGCCAGGCUGUCUCCACCCGAGACUCAGUGAAAUUGAACUCGCUGUGAAGAUGCAGUGUACCCGCGGCAAGACGGAAAGACCCCGUGAACCUUUACUAUAGCUUGACACUGAACAUUGAGCCUUGAUGUGUAGGAUAGGUGGGAGGCUUUGAAGCGUGGACGCCAGUCUGCGUGGAGCCAACCUUGAAAUACCACCCUUUAAUGUUUGAUGUUCUAACGUUGGCCCCUGACCGGGGUUGCGGACAGUGUCUGGUGGGUAGUUUGACUGGGGCGGUCUCCUCCCAAAGCGUAACGGAGGAGCACGAAGGUUAGCUAAUCCUGGUCGGACAUCAGGAGGUUAGUGCAAUGGCAUAAGCUAGCUUGACUGCGAGCGUGACGGCGCGAGCAGGUGCGAAAGCAGGUCAUAGUGAUCCGGUGGUUCUGAAUGGAAGGGCCAUCGCUCAACGGAUAAAAGGUACUCCGGGGAUAACAGGCUGAUACCGCCCAAGAGUUCAUAUCGACGGCGGUGUUUGGCACCUCGAUGUCGGCUCAUCACAUCCUGGGGCUGAAGUAGGUCCCAAGGGUAUGGCUGUUCGCCAUUUAAAGUGGUACGCGAGCUGGGUUUAGAACGUCGUGAGACAGUUCGGUCCCUAUCUGCCGUGGGCGCUGGAGAAUUGAGGGGGGCUGCUCCUAGUACGAGAGGACCGGAGUGGACGCAUCACUGGUGUUCGGGUUGUCAUGCCAAUGGCACUGCCCGGUAGCUAAAUGCGGAAGAGAUAAGUGCUGAAAGCAUCUAAGCACGAAACUUGCCCCGAGAUGAGUUCUCCCUGAGACUUUAAGUCUCCUGAAGGAACGUUAAAGACGAUGACGUUGAUAGGCCGGGUGUGUAAGCGCAGCGAUGCGUUGAGCUAACCGGUACUAAUGAACCGUGAGGCUUAACCUU
rnacentral:rRNA from 1 species